rnacentral:rRNA from 2 species
GGGUUGUGAGGUUAAGCGACUAAGCGUACACGGUGGAUGCCCUGGCAGUCAGAGGCGAUGAAGGGCGUGCUAAUCUGCGAUAAGCGCCGGUAAGGUGAUAUGAACCGUUAUAACCGGCGAUACCCGAAUGGGGAAACCCAGUGUGAUUCGUCACACUAUCAUUAACUGAAUCCAUAGGUUAAUGAGGCGAACCGGGGGAACUGAAACAUCUAAGUACCCCGAGGAAAAGAAAUCAACCGAGAUUCCCCCAGUAGCGGCGAGCGAACGGGGAGGAGCCCAGAGCCUGAAUCAGCAUGUGUGUUAGUGGAAGCGUCUGGAAAGGCGCGCGAUACAGGGUGACAGCCCCGUACACAAAAGCGCAUGUGCUGUGAGCUCGAUGAGUAGGGCGGGACACGUGGUAUCCUGUCUGAAUAUGGGGGGACCAUCCUCCAAGGCUAAAUACUCCUGACUGACCGAUAGUGAACCAGUACCGUGAGGGAAAGGCGAAAAGAACCCCGGCGAGGGGAGUGAAAAAGAACCUGAAACCGUGUACGUACAAGCAGUGGGAGCACAGGUUUACCUGUGUGACUGCGUACCUUUUGUAUAAUGGG